rnacentral:rRNA from 1 species
GAUGAACGCUAGCGGCAGGCCUAACAUAUGCAAGUCGAGGGGUAGAACACUUCGGUGUUUGAGACCGGCGCACGGGUGCGUAACGCGUAUGCAAUCUACCUUGUACAGGGGAAUAGCCCAGAGAAAUUUGGAUUAAUGCCCCAUAGUCUAUAACCUUCGCAUGUUGGUUAUAUUAAAGUUCCAACGGUACAAGAUGAGCAUGCGUCCCAUUAGUUAGUUGGUAAGGUAACGGCUUACCAAGAGGAUGAUGGGUAGGGGUCCUGAGAGGGAGAUCCCCCACACUGGUACUGAGACACGGACCAGACUCCUACGGGAGGCAGCAGUGAGGAAUAUUGGUCAAUGGGCGCAAGCCUGAACCAGCCAUGCCGCGUGCAGGAAGACGGUCCUAUGGAUUGUAAACUGCUUUUAUACAGGAAGAAACCCUCCCACGUGUGGGAGAUUGACGGUACUGUAGGAAUAAGGAUCGGCUAACUCCGUGCCAGCCGCCGCUGUAACAC